rnacentral:snRNA from 1 species
GGAAGUGAGGGCCAUCUGGCCGCGACUUCUGUCACCUGUUGAUUGUGUCACGCCAGGGUUGACUGGGCCUAUCUGGCUGGCUAGGCGGUAUCCCCUUCCUCCCUCAGCGCGCCGUGUGCAUCCCUCCUGAAGCUGCGCCCUUGGUCAAGGAGGACAAGCACCCCCGCCCCAGAGGAGGACCGGUCCUCCAUCAAGGGUACACAAGUAGCUGCGCUCCCUGCUCGGACAAGCUCUCAAAUAAGGCAUCAAUGCACAGAAAGAAAUCCCCAGCCUGGGGUCACACACCUG